UAAUGCAAUCGCUUCUUCGUAUUCCUUC
rnacentral:sRNA from 1 species